CACAACACCCACCCACAUCACAAGCGUAGCAGUAGCAGCAGCGGCGGCAUCGACGCCAUCUUCUGCUCCUCUCCGCACCCCUGCUCCCUCGCCGACCAGCCAAGGCAUCUAUCUCAGGCCAGCCCACCACGAAAUCCGUCCUCGGGUGUGGGGACGUGUUGCGUUGAUGGUCUGGGAUAAUGGAUUUGACAUCAGAAGCAGCAGGGUCCCGCAGAGGAGUAGUUCGCGAAAGUAGUGGCAGCAAAACAUCGUCAGUGGUACUAUUCGUCUGUGUGAUGAUUGAGGAGGGACGCGGGGAGGCCAAAAGGGAAAGGUGUGUUCGUCAAAAACGACAUGACAUGAAAUAGUAACUUGUGAGUGAAGAUGUUGAAGACUAUCAAGACGAGGUUGCGAUGUUCUAGGCGCGUGUCUUCCAGUCAAUUGCCUGUGGUGUUGUUAGGUACCAGUGCUUCUGUUCCACUGCAGAUAUCUUCAUAGAAGACAAUAUAUGUCAAUUGCUGUAAGAG